GCAGUAGAGCCAAAAAAUUCAUACAGCCAAACCACUAAAUAAUCUCCGAGAGAUUUCCCAACCACUGAAUAAUCGAGAGACUGAGCAGAGAAUCGAGAGAGGAGAAUCUUCGAGCAAUUGGGAUUUUUGGCGAGAGAGGCUGAGCAGAGAAUUGAGAGACUGGGCAGAGAGAAUCGAGAGAUUGAGCGAUUGUGAUUUCGUGGAG
rnacentral:lncRNA from 1 species